rnacentral:tRNA from 3 species
UCCGGGGUAGCUCAGCUGGCAGAGCAGCUGACUGUUAAUCAGCGGGUCGUGGGUUCGAGCCCCACCCCCGGAG